UUAGCAGUGAAGUUUCUUUACUAUUACUGGGUGAAUCAUUAGGUGUAAAAAAUAAUUAUCAACCAGGCAAAUUACUUUGCUUCCUAACCGAUGUCAUCCCACGUGAGUACAGGUUGUUAUAUAGCUCUGGCUGGCCCAGCAGGGAAGCCAGAAGGGGCCAGUAUGUCUGUCAUGACACCACUAACUGCAUUCUUGGGAAAGGUGGUUAAGUGAGCUCUCAGCCUUAGGAAGGAGGUACAUGGAGGAGGGAGGGAGGGGAACCAGCCUCGCUGGCCCUGCAGUGUGAAGGGGGUUAGGGGCAGGUCAUGCGCCCAUGCUGUCUCGCACUACCUGACGCUUCCUCGCAGCUGUGGCACUUCAUUCCACACAGUCCUGAGUCCCAGCUCCCCUUUUGCAGCUUGUGUCAAAAUGUGCUUUAUCUGAUUGGCUCCAAACAUCCUGAAAUGUCACAUGCAGAUUUCUUGUGGAAACAAUACAUACAUGUUUGCAAUCAUGUGGGAAUUUAAAUGUGUUAGCUGGAAAAUGCUAUUGGCAGGGAAUAAUAAAAAAGAAAAUCUUUCUAUUUCCUGCAGUGGGAACUGACCAUGUAAUCUUAACAGUCUUUUGUACACAUAUCAACAGACCAGAUAAUGUCCCUAUCAGUGCUUGCCCUUGAAAUUGUCUUUAAAUGCAUUAAGCAUACAAUAAAAAAAUACUGAAAUUAA